rnacentral:rRNA from 1 species
AGAUUGAACGCUGGCGGCAGGCUUAACACAUGCAAGUCGAGCGGAGAUGAGGUGCUUGCACCUUAUCUUAGCGGCGGACGGGUGAGUAAUGCUUAGGAAUCUGCCUAUUAGUGGGGGACAACAUUCCGAAAGGAAUGCUAAUACCGCAUACGCCCUACGGGGGAAAGCAGGGGAUCUUCGGACCUUGCGCUAAUAGAUGAGCCUAAGUCGGAUUAGCUAGUUGGUGGGGUAAAGGCCUACCAAGGCGACGAUCUGUAGCGGGUCUGAGAGGAUGAUCCGCCACACUGGGACUGAGACACGGCCCAGACUCCUACGGGAGGCAGCAGUGGGGAAUAUUGGACAAUGGGCGGAAGCCUGAUCCAGCCAUGCCGCGUGUGUGAAGAAGGCCUUUUGGUUGUAAAGCACUUUAAGCGAGGAGGAGGCUACUUAGAUUAAUACUCUAGGAUAGUGGACGUUACUCGCAGAAUAAGCACCGGCUAACUCUGUGCCAGCAGCCGCGGUAAUACAGAGGGUGCGAGCGUUAAUCGGAUUUACUGGGCGUAAAGCGUGCGUAGGCGGCUGAUUAAGUCGGAUGUGAAAUCCCUGAGCUUAACUUAGGAAUUGCAUUCGAUACUGGUCAGCUAGAGUAUGGGAGAGGAUGGUAGAUUUCCAGGUGUAGCGGUGAAAUGCGUAGAGAUCUGGAGGAAUACCGAUGGCGAAGGCAGCCAUCUGGCCUAAUACUGACGCUGAGGUACGAAAGCAUGGGGAGCAAACAGGAUUAGAUACCCUGGUAGUCCAUGCCGUAAACGAUGUCUACUAGCCGUUGGGGCCUUUGAGGCUUUAGUGGCGCAGCUAACGCGAUAAGUAGACCGCCUGGGGAGUACGGUCGCAAGACUAAAACUCAAAUGAAUUGACGGGGGCCCGCACAAGCGGUGGAGCAUGUGGUUUAAUUCGAUGCAACGCGAAGAACCUUACCUGGCCUUGACAUAGUAAGAACUUUCCAGAGAUGGAUUGGUGCCUUCGGGAACUUACAUACAGGUGCUGCAUGGCUGUCGUCAGCUCGUGUCGUGAGAUGUUGGGUUAAGUCCCGCAACGAGCGCAACCCUUUUCCUUAUUUGCCAGCGAGUAAUGUCGGGAACUUUAAGGAUACUGCCAGUGACAAACUGGAGGAAGGCGGGGACGACGUCAAGUCAUCAUGGCCCUUACGGCCAGGGCUACACACGUGCUACAAUGGUCGGUACAAAGGGUUGCUACCUAGCGAUAGGAUGCUAAUCUCAAAAAGCCGAUCGUAGUCCGGAUUGGAGUCUGCAACUCGACUCCAUGAAGUCGGAAUCGCUAGUAAUCGCGGAUCAGAAUGCCGCGGUGAAUACGUUCCCGGGCCUUGUACACACCGCCCGUCACACCAUGGGAGUUUGUUGCACCAGAAGUAGGUAGUCUAACCGCAAGGAGGACGCUUACCACGGUGUGGCCGAUGACUGGGGUGAA